CAAGACAGGAGGCGAUUCAGAAAGAAAAAACCAUUACCCCACUCAUCAAUGAGAAUCCAUUAGGAAGAUCAACAGAGUUAACAUUGCAUGGACCCAUGAGCCACUGGCAAGAUAGUGCAGUCACCCUUGCUUAAAAAAGACAGAAAGUGCAAACUUUUAGCAGUCAAAAAUGAACUGAGCACUAACAAUCAAAGCAAAUAGCCAAACUAAACAACCCAGUUCCGGAAGCACAAAUUGAGUUCUAUGAACCGCCCUAAGAAGAAUAAACUCACCAACCAUCGGCUCAACAAUCAGUACCAACAGCCCCUUUGUUCAAAGGAAAAAUAGAACGAGAGCGCCUUAGCAUGAAUAACUAUUUCGGCAUUUCUAUGAUAUUUGCAGCACAAGAAAAACACAAAGAAUAUACUAAGCCAUUCUUUAUAAAUAAAUCAAUGUGUGCUAAAAAUUUGUUUCAAGAUUUUUCAAGAUUGCACUGCUCUAAAUCUUGAAACAUAUUCAAUUAACCCUCAAGAGCACAAUAAGAACUCUAUGUGGACAUGAGCUUCUAGGUAAUCCUCAAAACAGACUACGUUCUUUCAUACUUUGGAAAAUUAAUGUAAAUAGCAUUAGAAUGGGGUCUUGGAUGCCUAACUAACCUUUAGGAUCAUGUAAGACCAGUUUAGGUAACAAAAGGAGGCAUAAAUAGGUCUAGCUAAUAAGGCAGCAAGAAUUCAAUACUCUGGAAGUGGACGAAAUAAAACUAGCAAUCUAACAUCAACAACUCUUAGUACAAAGAAAUAGAAAAGGCAUAAUUUAAAUGUCAUUUCAGUUCAAUUGGCACUGAUUUCAAGCUUAACUAGGACCCUAAAUUCCAAACAUUUAGAAACUACAUUUUCCCAAGCUAGUAAGACUUUUUCAGUGGUUGAUAGUUUUGCAAGGUUUCAGUUUUGUUUCUGAGAAUUUCAAGAGUUAACAUAAUGCAGAUUUUAAGCUCAAUCAAGUAUUUAUGUUUAAUAUAACAAACACAGAUUCAUAUAAUGACGAAUAACAAAAUAGGAAUUGAAAUUGAACAGAAUCGCCACGUACAAAGAAAUGAUCUGAUUAACAAAGAGCUGAACUAAUUCUAGAUCCGGUAGCUAAAUAAGAACCGAUUGAUAAUCCUCGGAUAGUCAUCGGGGUUACACCAGAUUCUUAGGGCAAAAAAGUUACCCAAAGAAGAUAACACAUGCGAUUCCCACAAAUAUGAUGAAAAAAUAUUGCAAGAGUUCAAAAUUGAGGACAUACCAGUUAGGGUUUUCUUAGAUUAAUCCUCCGUUCGACUGAUUUGAGGGCAGAAGUCGAUCGAUUUGGCUUCCACAAUGAGACAAUCAAGAGGGAGGAAGAGAGAAGUUUGACCUAAGAACUUCUGAUUCGUGCUUCUACAGUUUUGAAAAUGCUAAAGAUCUUCUCCGUUUGGAUAGUUAGAGAGAAGGGCACCCGCUUCCUUUGGUCGUAGAGAGAGAAAGUACAGAGAUAAGAGAUAAAGUAGUCUUGUUUUAAUUUCA
rnacentral:lncRNA from 1 species